CAGCAGCCGCGGGAAUACGGAGGGUGCAAGCGUUAAUCGGAAUUACUGGGCGUAAAGCGUGCGUAGGCGGUUCGUUAAGUCUGUUGUGAAAGCCCCGGGCUCAACCUGGGAAUGGCAAUGGAUACUGGCGAGCUAGAGUGUGUCAGAGGAUGGUGGAAUUCCCGGUGUAGCGGUGAAAUGCGUAGAGAUCGGGAGGAACAUCAGUGGCGAAGGCGGCCGUCUGGGACAACACUGACGCUGAGGCACGAAAGCGUGGGGAGCAAACAGGAUUAGAUACCCCUGUAGUCCCUGUCUCUUAUAC
rnacentral:rRNA from 1 species